rnacentral:rRNA from 1 species
GAUGAACGCUGGCGGCGUGCCUAAUACAUGCAAGUCGAGCGAACGGACGAGAAGCUUGCUUCUCUGAUGUUAGCGGCGGACGGGUGAGUAACACGUGGAUAACCUACCUAUAAGACUGGGAUAACCUCGGGAAGCCGUAGCUAAUACCGGAUAAUAUUUUGAACCGCAUGGUUCAAAAGUGAAAGACGGUCUUGCUGUCACUUAUAGAUGGAUCCGCGCUGCAUUAGCUAGUUGGUAAGGUAACGGCUUACCAAGGCAACGAUGCAUAGCCGACCUGAGAGGGUGAUCGGCCACACUGGAACUGAGACACGGUCCAGACUCCUACGGGAGGCAGCAGUAGGGAAUCUUCCGCAAUGGGCGAAAGCCUGACGGAGCAACGCCGCGUGAGUGAUGAAGGUCUUCGGAUCGUAAAACUCUGUUAUUAGGGAAGAACAUAUGUGUAAGUAACUGUGCACAUCUUGACGGUACCUAAUCAGAAAGCCACGGCUAACUACGUG